AUUGAACGCUGGCGGCAGGCCUAACACAUGCAAGUCGAGCGGAUGAAGGGAGCUUGCUCCCUGAUUCAGCGGCGGACGGGUGAGUAAUGCCCAGGAAUCUGCCUGGUAGUGGGGGACAACGUUUCGAAUGGAACGCUAAUACCGCAUACGUCCUACGGGAGAAAGCAGGGGACCUUCGGGCCUUGCGCUAUCAGAUGAGCCUAGGUCGGAUUAGCUAGUUGGUGAGGUAAUGGCUCACCAAGGCGACGAUCCGUAACUGGUCUGAGAGGAUGAUCAGUCACACUGGAACUGAGACACGGUCCAGACUCCUACGGGAGGCAGCAGUGGGGAAUAUUGGACAAUGGGCGAAAGCCUGAUCCAGCCAUGCCGCGUGUGUGAAGAAGGUCUUCGGAUUGUAAAGCACUUUAAGUUGGGAGGAAGGGUUGCUGAUUAAUACUCUGCAAUUUUGACGUUACCGACAGAAUAAGCACCGGCUAACUCUGUGCCAGCAGCCGCAGUAA
rnacentral:rRNA from 1 species